GAUCUUUUGGUGGAAGAAUCACGGCAGAGCAUGAGACUCUUAAUCUCAGGGUUGUGGGUUCGAGCCCCACGUUGGGCG
rnacentral:tRNA from 1 species